UACGAAGGGGGCUAGCGUUGCUCGGAAUCACUGGGCGUAAAGCGCACGUAGGCGGAUUGUUAAGUCAGGGGUGAAAUCCUGGAGCUCAACUCCAGAACUGCCUUUGAUACUGGGAAUCUCGAGUCCGGGAGAGGUGAGUGGAACUGCGAGUGUAGAGGUGAAAUUCGUAGAUAUUCGCAAGAACACCAGUGGCGAAGGCGGCUCACUGGCCCGAUACUGACGCUGAGGCACGAAAGCGUGGGGAGCAAACAGG
rnacentral:rRNA from 1 species